AUUAAAUUAAGUACAAUUAAUUUUAUUAUUCAAUUAGAAAAAAUUUUUUUUAUUAUAGUAAAAUGUAUUGUAAAGGAAAAUUUAAAUUAUUUAAAAGAAAAAUUUAAUUUUUGUACCUUGUGUAUCAGGGUUUAUUAAAUUUAAUUUAUUUAUUUAUUUAUCUCGAAUUUAAAAGAGCUAAAUUAUUAUUAAUUUUAUUGUAAAAUAAAUAUAUUAAAUAAUAAGUUAGUAAUGAAAUGUUAUUCGUUUUUAAAUAUAUCUAGUUUUUUAAGAAAUUAAUUAAAUUAUUUUAUUAUAAAUAUAUUUAUUAUUUUAUAUUUUUAUAUUAAUAAUAAUUAAUAUUUUUAGGGAUUAGCUUAAAAAUAUAUUUUUAUUAAAUUAUAAAUUAUUAAUUAAAAUUAGGAUUAAAAAUUUUCAUAUUUUAAAGUAUGUUAUUAUUUAUUUAUUUUUAUAUAAUUUUUAUUUUUUAUAAAUUUUAUAUUAAAAUAUUAAUUUAAAUUUUAUAAAUUAAGAAAUAAUGAUAAAAUUAGUAUAAUUAUAUAUAUAUAUAUAUAUAAUAAAUUGUUAGGUUAAUUUUUAAAGAAUUCGGCAAAAUUAUUUUUCACCUGUUUAUUAAAAACAUGUCUUUUUGUUUAAAAUUUAAAGUCUAGCCUGCCCAAUGAAGUUUAAAUGGCCGCGAUAUUUUGAUCGUGCUAAGGUAGCAUAAUCAUUAGUUUUUUAAUUGAAAGCUGGAAUGAAGGGUUGGAUGAAAAAAUAACUUUUUUAGUUUAAUUUUAUUAAAAUUUUAUUUUUAAGUAAAAAAGUUUAAAUGUAAUUAAAAGACGAGAAGACCCUAUAAAGUUUUAUAAAUAUUUUAAAAUAUUUUUUUAGAAUUAAUUUUUUAUUUUGAAAUGUUUAUUUGGUUGGGGUGAUUAAAAAAUUUAAUUAACUUUUUUUAUAUUUUUAUAUAAAUUUAUAAAUUUAUGAUCCAAUAUUAUUGAUUAUAAGAUAAAAUUACUUUAGGGAUAACAGCGUAAUUUUAUUAGAAAGUUCAUAUUGAUAAUAAAGAUUGCGACCUCGAUGUUGGAUUAAAAUUUCUAUUUGGUGUAGUGGCUAAAUAAUUAAGUCUGUUCGACUUUUAAAAUUUUACAUGAUCUGAGUUUAAACCGGUGUAAGCCAGGUUGGUUUCUAUCUUUAGUAAAUUAAUAUAUUUUAGUACGAAAGGACCAAGUAUAUAAAUAAUAUUUUAUAUUUGAUAAAUAUU
rnacentral:rRNA from 1 species